rnacentral:rRNA from 1 species
UGGGGAAUCUUCGACAAUGGGGGAAACCCUGAUCUAGCCAUGCCGCGUGAGUGACGAAGGCCUUAGGGUCGUAAAGCUCUUUCGCCAGGGAUGAUAAUGACGGUACCUGGUAAAGAAACCCCGGCUAACUCCGUGCCAGCAGCCGCGGUAAUACGGAGGGGGUUAGCGUUGUUCGGAAUUACUGGGCGUAAAGCGCACGUAGGCGGACUAUUAAGUCAGGGGUGAAAUCCCGGGGCUCAACCCCGGAACUGCCUUUGAUACUGGUAGUCUUGAGUUCGAGAGAGGUGAGUGGAAUUCCGAGUGUAGAGGUGAAAUUCGUAGAUAUUCGGAGGAACACCAGUGGCGAAGGCGGUCACCUGGUCCGCAACUGACGCUGAGGCGCGAAAGCGUGGGGAGCAAACAGGAUUAGAUACCCGUGUAGUCC